UGCCGGGAGGGUGGAUUUCUGGAGCAGAUGGAGCUGAAUUAGGGUUGUACAACAAUUGAUGAAGAAGAAAAGACAAAAAUGAGGAGAAGAAAUUGGGGGUUUGAUUAGAGAUUGAGGUCUGUAAACAGUGGGUUUGUGUUGGAUUUGAAGAAUACACACAAGAAGAGAAGGCUGCAGCUGAGAUUACACAGUUGCACUUUUCCUGUGAUGUUUUGGGCGAAAUUGUGACAGAGAAGAAGAAGAGAUAAGUGUAUGUGAUGCUGGUAAUGAAGCUACAGAUGGUGCAGGUUUGAAGUGAUUGCAGAGGGCUAGAAACUGCUGAAGUUGCAGCUGCAGAAGUGGAUUGAGUCAGAGAUGGGUUCGAUGCUGUUUCCAUGGUGAUUUCCAAGAAACCAACGAAGAUUGAAGCUGAUUAAGCUUAAUGGAACUGCAGGUGGUGAUGUAUUGGCUAGGCAGGGGAGAUGUUUAUGAUGUUGAAACUUACGGGGAAGAAGUUGAUAUGAACUGAUGAUGCUGUGGAGAAGACAAGGCUGUAGAAGGCAGUGAAGAUUAAAAAGAGUAUGGACUGAAUGGAGCAGUGAGACGUUGACUGAACUGAGGCUAAAAGCUGAGUUACGAGGUUUUGCAGAAGUCAGGAUAUAGCAGUUGCAGCUGAGAUUGGUGCUGGUGAUUGUCAUGGGUUCUUGCAGGUGGUCUUGCUACUGUGCACAGAUGCUCUGGUGAUGCUACUUUGCUGCCGAAAUGGUCAGCGAUGGAGUUUGGCUAGAGCCAGAGGCAAGGAGUUAGAAGAAGCUGAUGUUGUUGCUUGUGGUUCUUAUGCAUGGAAGUGAUGUUUCAAAACAUAAAUGGAGAGUGGGUUGAGAACUCAAGUUGAGAUGGGUUAUCCUGCCGCUAGGGGUUGUGAGCUGCACAUAAUGUUCGUUGUUUAGAUGGAGUUGUCUGUGGCUCUAGUGGUGCUGUAAUGGAACUGGAUAUUGUGUUGAUGCUUGUAGCCGUGGUGUUGGUUCAACUGGUUGUAGAAGUGGUGGUAUAUGUAGGAGUACCUGGUGAUAGAAGUACAAGGAUUUAGAAGUCAACAGAUAGAGAGAUACUAGUGUUGCCGCUGAGGUUACAGGGAAGCUUGGAUGCAGUUGCAGUUUUGGCUGUGAGGAGUUAAGUUAGGAGAAGAUACUGAGAUGGAUUUGCUGUUGCAGAAUGGUUCAGUGAAAUGAGGCAGAAAUGAAUGAAUUGAACUGCAAUGGGUUUGUGAAUGUGCCAUUGAGUUGUGAAGUUGAAAAGGAAUUACAAAAGUGGGUUAGAAGUAUAUAACAACUUACGCUUUUCACUCUUGAAGAUUUUUGUUCAGCAUUUUGGUAUCUAAUGCAUCUCUGGUAGCAGGUAUAUGGAUGUGAUUCUUCAGGUUCUCUGCGUCGGUGGUGGUGUUCCUCCUGAUAUUUGAACAAAUGACCAGCUAGGCUCAUCAGCUUAUGAAAGGUCCCAAGUAGCAUGUUUCCGGAUAAAGGCCUACUAACUGUGUGAUCUGCACCGAAAAUAUGUGUUGAAGCAUAGCUCAGAGACUGAGCUUCAGUGGGAAUAUGGCAUAUUCUAGGAACUUGUAGGCUUUUCUUCCCUUUAACUAGGGUCAGUUUCAGAUGCCUUUGUGUUGGAUUGUACUUGAAGUUAAGUUUUAUGUAAACAUAGAACAUUGUAUGAAUCUCAACAUAAAAACAUUGUAUGUCAAUGAAUCAAUUAUAAUCA